rnacentral:lncRNA from 1 species
UUUUCCUCCUCCUGGUCCAUGAUAGAUCUGACUUUCUUCUUGGUCCACCAUAUAGGUCCAUCAAAUGGGUCUAUCAAUGUUCUACUUGAUGAAAGGACCUGCAAAAUAAGGAAAAAACGGUCAAGGGUCUACCAGGGAUGCCCCGGUGGAGACCCUUCGACGCUCAAGUCAGAUUUUAUGGAUUAGAGUAGUAUAUUGGGU